rnacentral:rRNA from 1 species
GACGGAGGAGGCAAGCGUUAUCCGGAAUUAUUGGGCGUAAAGCGUCCGCAGGCGGUUUUUUAAGUCUGUUGUCAAAGGUCACAGCUCAACUGUGGAUCGGCAAUGGAAACUGGGAGACUAGAGUGUGGUAGGGGUAGAGGGAAUUCCCGGUGUAGCGGUGAAAUGCGUAGAUAUCGGGAAGAACACCAGUGGCGAAGGCGCUCUACUGGGCCACCACUGACGCUGAGGGGCGAAAGCUAGGGGAGCGAUCGGG